GAUUUACUUUGUAAUAUAAUUGUUAACGUGGUAUGGUUAUAAUUUAAAUAUAAAGUAGUAAUGAAAUGUUUUUCGAAUUUUAUGGUGGCUAGUUUAUUAGUGAAUAAUAUUUUAGUAUUUGAAUAUUUAAACAUUUUAAAAAUGUUUAAAUAUUAUUGAAAUUAUAAGGGAUAAGCUUUAUAAUAAUUUAUAGAUUAUUUUAAAUAUUUAUUAUACUAUAAAGUAGAAUUAAAAUUGUUUUUCUUUUGUAUUUAAUAGUUAUUAAAUAUAUUAUAAUCAGAUCGUAGCUAAUAAAUUUUUAUUAAUUAUAAAUAAAUAAAUAUUAUGUUAAUAUGAGUAUUAAUUAUAUUAUUAUAUUUUGAUUUAAUAGAAUUGUAUUAUUAAAUUUUUGUAAUAAAAUGAAAUAAAAUAAAGGAAUUAGGCAAAUAUAAAUCUCGCCUGUUUAUCAAAAACAUGUCUCUUUGUUUUUUAUAUAUAAAGAG
rnacentral:rRNA from 1 species